CGCCUGUUCAGCUGAGCUGGUGGAGCAGCGUCCCAGUUCAGACUUCAGCCUGUCGAUCAUCAGCUGAUGAACACAGUGAAGCUGCUGCCACCUGCUGGAGGACCGACAGCACUGAUUGGCUGUCAGCCUGAGAACAAACAGGAAGUGACUGCAGUCUUUCCCUCCUAGAUCAGGAUGUGCAUCAUCAACACUGUGAAAACAACAAGAACAUGGAAACAUGAAGGUGUUUGUUAGAGUCUGACAAGCUGGAGUCCAUCAUGAUCUUCAGUCUGAAACACACCAGAGCAACAGAAAUGAGCUGAAAUAAGAUCAAAUACAUUCUCACUGUCCAUGUUGAGACCAAUAUUAACAACAUUAUACAGUAACAAACUAAUAAAAGACAACUGUCGUGACCACAUGAGGGAUCAUGUUAUGUUGGAGCUUCAUGUCCUUCCUAUUACCUGCUGUAAUAAACAUGUCAGUGAACGUGUCUCUGAGACAGUCACAGUGCUCAUGUCUCCCACACAGUGCAGGGACAGUGAACAGGCCUGAGCACGAUCAGUGUGACGAUCCUAUUGUUUCUGUGCGUGUUCGUCUCUGAUGAGAAGCAUGUUUGGUGGCUAAACAUCCCCCAAACUCUGCACACAUCUGGUGAAAUGUUUAUGAUUCAGCAUGAUUGUUGUGGAUGUGAUCAGAGGACUCCAUAGCGCCCCCUAAUGCCAGGUCAUGUGACAGCAUGAUGAAGCGGG